rnacentral:sRNA from 1 species
UCGGUUUGCAAGACAGACCUUAUGAAAGCAGUUUUAGUAAAGCAGCCUCAGUUACGCAGUGUUAUCUUCUGAUUACUCUUCUUCAUGAGCCUCCUCCUAGUGCCUAAGUAAGUCCCGCUCUUGAACAGAUACUGUUCGCCACAUAUUGUGGCUUAAAAAAAAUAAAUUUAGAAGGUAAUAUCUAUGUCUAACAAAAUGACUGGUUUAGUAAAAUGGUUUAACUCUGAUAAAGGUUUCGGUUUUAUCUCUCCUACAGAUGGCAGCAAAGACGUAUUCGUCCAUUUCUCUGCAAUCCAGAGCGACAACUUCCGUACUCUUGAUGAAGGCCAAAAAGUUGAGUUCACUAUUGAGAACGGCGCUAAAGGCCCAGCAGCUGCGAACGUAGUUGCAAUCUAAUUUCUCUGAA